UUUCUUUUCGUUUCUGGAGCGACACUUAACAAGGCAAUGAAGAUACUAAUUGUUGUACACCUAUUGUUUCUGGCUUUAACAGCUGCUGUAGCCCAGUAUUAUUCCGGUCAAGGAAUGGGACGAUACCAAUAUGGCAGAAGUAGAGGAGGAGGUGGAAACGGAUUACGAGGAAGGUACUACCAGGGGAAAUAAUUGGACUGCUUCCUUUGUGUUGAUGUAACAGAAUAGUUCAAUCUUUAAGCCUAACUUAUAUUUGAUUGUUAUAUUUGUAGAUUUUGUAGUUUCAUAAAUAAAACUUGCUAAACACAGAA